AUGGCAGUGGAGCGGGGGCGACGGCGGCUACUCCUUCAGUCGACUGCAUCUUUUUGUGGCGCUUGGGUACAUUCCGAAUCAACUACAAAUUCCUCUCACUACGCCCAUGCCCAGGAUGCUCAUGGCGUAGCUUACAGUACCAGGCAACAUCUUCUGUUGAUUACAGUGCCAAAAACUCCAGCAGGCCGCAGGACUCCUACGUCGCUGGCGCUUGUCACUGUCGCUGACGACGCCCUGCGUCCGGCUGGCCGCCAAGGAAUCCGCCAACCCGUCCCAAUUUAG
rnacentral:rRNA from 1 species